rfam:Triticum aestivum genome assembly, contig: Triticum_aestivum_CS42_TGACv1_scaffold_129440_2BL
GCCGUGAAGAGGAAGAAAGAGAGACCUUAAGAGCGCUAGGAAUGGGAACAUGGAGAAAAGCCAAACUUAUUUGUUUUCACCCAUGCUGGAGGUGCAAAUAUUAUGUUUGGUAUUUUUCUGAUGCCUCCCAUUCCUAUGGUUCUUGAGCACUCCUUCCUCUUCAUUUUGGCA